rnacentral:rRNA from 3 species
UUAAUUGAAGAGUUUGAUCAUGGCUCAGAUUGAACGCUGGCGGCAGGCCUAACACAUGCAAGUCGAACGGUAACAGGAAGCAGCUUGCUGCUUCGCUGACGAGUGGCGGACGGGUGAGUAAUGUCUGGGGAUCUGCCCGAUGGAGGGGGAUAACCACUGGAAACGGUGGCUAAUACCGCAUAACGUCGCAAGACCAAAGUGGGGGACCUUCGGGCCUCACACCAUCGGAUGAACCCAGAUGGGAUUAGCUAGUAGGUGGGGUAACGGCUCACCUAGGCGACGAUCCCUAGCUGGUCUGAGAGGAUGACCAGCCACACUGGAACUGAGACACGGUCCAGACUCCUACGGGAGGCAGCAGUGGGGAAUAUUGCACAAUGGGCGCAAGCCUGAUGCAGCCAUGCCGCGUGUAUGAAGAAGGCCUUCGGGUUGUAAAGUACUUUCAGCGGGGAGGAAGGGAUGGCGCUUAAUACGCGCCGUCAUUGACGUUACCCGCAGAAGAAGCACCGGCUAACUCCGUGCCAGCAGCCGCGGUAAUACGGAGGGUGCAAGCGUUAAUCGGAAUUACUGGGCGUAAAGCGCACGCAGGCGGUCUGUUAAGUC